AAUACUUGCUCCCUUUCCUUCCAAACGAUCAAAUAAUUGGCCUUAUGCGGUGGAGUGUGGACCUUGCGUGCGGACCAAAAUCUGACGGCUGAGAUUGGGCGAGCUCACGCGUAGAACCGGCGAGUCGGGAGUGCUGAGCGUGAAGAGCAGCGGCACUUUUUCAAGGAGAAAGAUAGGAUGUUUUGUCACUAAGCAGAAAAUUGAGAGCUCUUCAAGCAAGCAGCAGAUUAAUUUUUCACCCAUGUCAAAUAUUUGAUUAUUUUUUUGAAUUUUUUAACUUUUUGACCUUAAAGUUCUGUUCUUUGGAUUGGUUUUUCAAUUGGGUGACUUGGGUUUGAGGGGUUGUGAAUUGAUUUAGCUGUUUUUGAUGGACUAUGAGAUGUUUUACUAACUCGCUAUAGAGCCUAAGCUAAAGUCCCAAGAGCAACAUUCUGGCCACCACCUCCUGGGACAACCAGAGAUUAUUGGUAGGAUUAAGUAAUGAAUGCUGGGAGAUACACCAGAGUGGACAAAAUCUUGCUAGUGUGGCCAACGCAUCCAUACCCCAUGACCAACCGGUUUUGUGCUCAACUUGGAAGGAUGAUGGAUCUACUGUGUUCUCUGGUGGCUGUGACGAGCAAGUUAAGAGUGGCCUUUGGCUGGUAACCAACCAGUGACCGUUACAUACAUGAUGCACCCAUAAAAGAGGUUGCUUGGGAUCCCGGAGGAAAUGAACUACUUAGUCACAGGAAACUGGGACAAGACUACGAAUUUUGUCUAGUGUUACAGGACUUGUAUAAAGUUGUACGUGGGCGAAUGAGACAUGUGAAAUGUUUGUUACUUUGGCGUAAAACAAGUGAUACAUUUUUCUGAUAGUUUAUGCAAGCCUUCAAUGACAUCUGAGGAAGAAGGAUGGAAGAGAGAGGAGGCACGACACAGGUGUAAGCUAUUACAAUUACAGGGUAUACUCCCAGUCCUAUGGAGAGAUAGGAAGAUUGAUUGUACUGAUGCAAUGUCCGAUACAAGCUUGGUGCCCUAUCGUUGAAAAUAGCCGAGCAUUGCUCUUUCGACAUUAAUUCGGGAAGGUUAGAUGCUACCGGUUAAUUAGCCAAAGAAGAAGCCAGCAGUCUAGAGACACCAUAGUUGGAGUUGGCCCAGGAAUAAUCAUCAAAGGCAGAGGGUGAGUGCGAUCGGUGACGAGCAAAUAAUUGCUGGGAAUUUGAAGCAUGUCAUAGGGUAAGUGGGCACCGCCAACGCCAUCAAUUUGAAGCAAAUAGAACGAAAUUACGUACCAUGUAAUUAUUCUCGAUAUUCCGAUGUCAAGACACAACUCACAAGUCGGACGAGUCACUGAAAUAGUUAGAAAAACCCGUCACCCUCCUUCUCUCAUGUUUCAAUUACUUUUUUGUCUCA